UACAGAGGGUGCGAGCGUUAAUCGGAAUUACUGGGCGUAAAGCGUGCGUAGACGGUUAUUUAAGUCGGAUGUGAAAGCCCCGGGCUCAACCUGGGAAUUGCAUUCGAGACUGAAUAGCUAGGGUGCGGUAGAGGGAAGCGGAAUUUCCGGUGUAGCGGUGAAAUGCGUAGAUAUCGGAAGGAACAUCAGUGGCGAAAGCGGCUUCCUGGACCAGCACCGACGUUCAGGCACGAAAGCGUGGGGAGCAAACAGGA
rnacentral:rRNA from 1 species